UACGUAGGGCGCAAGCGUUGUCCGGAAUUAUUGGGCGUAAAGAGCUCGUAGGCGGUCUGUCGCGUCGGAUGUGAAAGCCCGGGGCUUAACCCCGGGUCUGCAUUCGAUACGGGCAGACUAGAGUGUGGUAGGGGAGAUCGGAAUUCCUGGUGUAGCGGUGAAAUGCGCAGAUAUCAGGAGGAACACCGGUGGCGAAGGCGGAUCUCUGGGCCAUUACUGACGCUGAGAAGCGAAAGCAUGGGGAGCGAACAGG
rnacentral:rRNA from 1 species